AUUGAACGCUGGCGGCAUGCCUUACACAUGCAAGUCGAACGGCAGCACGGGUGCUUGCACCUGGUGGCGAGUGGCGAACGGGUGAGUAAUACAUCGGAACAUGUCCUGUAGUGGGGGAUAGCCCGGCGAAAGCCGGAUUAAUACCGCAUACGAUCUACGGAUGAAAGCGGGGGACCUUCGGGCCUCGCGCUAUAGGGUUGGCCGAUGGCUGAUUAGCUAGUUGGUGGGGUAAAGGCCUACCAAGGCGACGAUCAGUAGCUGGUCUGAGAGGACGACCAGCCACACUGGGACUGAGACACGGCCCAGACUCCUACGGGAGGCAGCAGUGGGGAAUUUUGGACAAUGGGCGAAAGCCUGAUACGGCAAUGCCGCGUGUGUGAAGAAGGCCUUCGGGUUGUAAAGCACUUUUGUCCGGAAAGAAAUCCUUGGCUCUAAUACAGUCGGGGGAUGACGGUACCGGAAGAAUAAGCACCGGCUAACUACGUG
rnacentral:rRNA from 1 species